GCCUGUCUCCUCUACUUCAGUAACAACAACAACAACUGGAUUAAAUGUGCUCCAACAAGGUUCCCCAGGACUGUUGGUUUUUCCGUAUUUGCCAUCACCUCCUGUGGUCUUCUUGUUAGCAGGGGGCAUAUCUCCAACCAAAGCAUAGAAAGCAUUCAAUAAAUAUUGCCCAGAGGCCACAUGAGUAUGGGUAAGGGGUAACUUGGGAAUUCUGGGAAGGAUUCCUGGAGUUGCCUCUCUACUCUUUCUGCUCUUAUCAAACUGCAUAUAAUCACCAAACCAAAUGUACACACACAUCCUCAUGCCACAUCCAUUGUCCUUCCUCUAAAUCUCACCCUCUUCCCCUAUACACACACAUACACUCAUCUU
rnacentral:lncRNA from 10 species